GACGCUCUCUCCGAUCGCUCAAUUAACAUACGUCCAGAAAAUUUCUAAAACUUAUUUGUGCAAGUCCUUCCAUGUAGUCAUGUUACCAUAAUCAAUUGAAUUUGGACGAUGCAAAGAAUUUCAAGUAAAGACAAAUUCGUACAUCAUUUAACAUUGUAAAUACGAAUACUAUUGCUUAUUAUAUAAGUAGUAUAUAGUUUAUAGGAAGACGCUUCUUCUAACGCGACG